AACGAACGCUGGCGGCGUGCUUAACACAUGCAAGUCGCGUGCGCGGUUCACGAACUUGUACGUGGAUGGGCGCACGGCGCAGGGGGGCGUAACACGUGGGCACUCUGCCCUCCGAUGGGGAAUACUCCCGCGAACCGGGGGCUAAUACCGCAUAACAUUCCGAGGACUUGGGUUCUUGGAUUCAAAGCAGUGAUGCCUGUGAGGAGGAGCCCGCGCCCGAUUAGCUAGUUGGUAGGGUAACGGCCUACCUCGGCAAUGAUCGGUAGCUGGUCUGAGAGGAUAAUCAGACACACUGCAACUGAAACGAGGCCCAGACUCCUACCGUAGGGAACGCUGGGGAAUCUUGCCUUCUGGGCGAAAGCAUGACCCAACGACGCCGCGUGGGGGAUGAAGCUUUUGCUAGUGUAAACCCCUUUUCACUGGUAAGAAUGCACGCAAGGGAGCGACAGUACCCUGGCAAGAAGCCCCGGCUAACUACGUGCCACCCGCCUCGGUAAGACCUAGGGGGCCAGCGUUGUUCGGAAUUACUGGGUGUAUAGGGUACUUAUGCGGUGCGACAAGUUGGGAGUGAAAUCUCUGGGCUUAACCCAGAGGCUGCUUCUCAAACUGCUAUGCUUGAUUGUGACAGAGGCUCUUGAAAUUGCAGGAGUAGCGUUGAAAUGCAUGUAUAUCUGCAAGAUCACCCGAGAUAUGGACGAACAGCUGGAUCACAAGUGACGCUGAGGAACGAAAGCUACGCUGAGCGAACAGGAUUAUAUACACUGGUAGUCCUAGCACUAAACGAUCAUGACUUGCGGUGACGACCGUUCGGACGUCUCCCGGAGCUAACGCGUUAAGUCCUGCACCUGGGGAGUACGGUCGCAGACUGGAAGUCAAAGGAAUUGACGGGGGCCCGCACAAGCGGUGGAACAUGUGGUUCAAUUCGACGCUACGCGAGGAACCUUACCUGGUUCGAAAUUCUUAUGACCAGCUGUAGAAUUACGGCUUUCCUUCAAGAGACAUGAGUCUAGGCGCUCCAUGGCUGUCGUCAGUUCGUUCCGUGAGGUGUUGGGUUAAGUCCCGCAACGAGCGCAACCCCUGCACGUAGUUACUACUCGCAAGAGAGGACUCUACGUGGACUGCUCCGGAUAACGGAGAGGAAGGUGGGAAUGACGUCAAGUCCGCAUGGCCUUUAUGUCCAGGGCUACACACGUGUUACAAUGCAGGGUACAAACCGUUGCCAACCCGCGAGGGGGAGCUAAUCGGAUAAAACUGUGCUCAGUUCGGAUUGCAGUCUGCAACUCGACUGCAUGAAGCUGGAAUCGCUAGUAAUGGGGAUCAGCUUGACGCCGUGAAUACGUUCCCGGGCCUUGUACACACCGCCCGUCACAUCACGAAAGUGAGCUCACCUAGAAGUCGCCACGCUAACCGCAAGGGGGCAGGCGCCCAAGGUAUGACUCAUGAUUGGGGUG
rnacentral:rRNA from 1 species